GCGCCUGUAGCUCAGCUGGAUAGAGCGUCGGACUUCGAAUCCGCAGGUCGGGGGUUCGACUCCCUCCAGGCGCACCA
rnacentral:tRNA from 1 species